AUUGAACGCUGGCGGCAUGCUUUACACAUGCAAGUCGAACGGUAACAGGCCUUCGGGUGCUGACGAGUGGCGCACGGGUGAGUAAUGCAUCGGAACGUACCCAGAGGUGGGGGAUAACGCAGCGAAAGCUGUGCUAAUACCGCAUGUGAUCUGAGGAUGAAAGCGGGGGACCGAGCAGCAAUGUUUGGCCUCGCGCCUUUGGAGCGGCCGAUGUCGGAUUAGCUAGUUGGUGGGGUAAAGGCCUACCAAGGCGACGAUCCGUAGCUGGUCUGAGAGGACGACCAGCCACACUGGGACUGAGACACGGCCCAGACUCCUACGGGAGGCAGCAGUGGGGAAUUUUGGACAAUGGGCGCAAGCCUGAUCCAGCAAUGCCGCGUGCGGGAAGAAGGCCUUCGGGUUGUAAACCGCUUUUGGCAGGAACGAAACGGUGUCCGCUAAUACCGGGCGCUAAUGACGGUACCUGCAGAAUAAGCACCGGCUAACUACAUG
rnacentral:rRNA from 1 species